rnacentral:tRNA from 1 species
GCGCUCGUAGCUCAAUUGGAUCGAGCAAAGAGCUUCUACCUCUUAGGUUGUAGGUUCGAGUCCUACCGGGCGCG